AUGGACAAGGUGAAGAGCCAUGGCAGCAAGCACAAGGCAUCAGGAGGAUCAGGAUCAGGAGGGCUGAGCAGGAUGCUGAGGCAGAACAAGGCCAGGCUAUACAUCAUCCGCCGAUGCGUCCGAUAUCCAGUUCUUGGUUUUGGUAAUGUCACCGGGCUGGUCACAAGUUGGAGCAAAAGUCAUGUUGCGCCCAUUCAAUGCGACUCCAUCGACCUCGAUGACAUCCUGCAAGCCUUCCCAGAGGUUCGUACCUCCUUCCUGAUGCGAUAUCUUGGGCUCCUGCCGUCGACGGAAACAAAGCUAAAUUUUGGGAUUCCCCUUGGCUUGAGGGCUCACCCAAAAGACAUCGCCCACAAGAAGGGUUGCACGGACUCCAUUUCCUGGAAGUUCACUUUCAAUGGGGAAUACUCCACGACUUCAGCAUACAAGGUGCAAUUUCCUGGGAAAACUUCCAUGGCCUGGUCCCCAUGCUUUGGGGAGAUUGGGCUCCCCCCAAAUGUAAGGUUUUUGCCUGACUUGUCAUUCAAGAUAGAGUUUGGACGGCUGACAGGUUGCUCCGUCGUGGUUGGCCAACUUGUGGGUUGCGUCCUCUUUGCAAUCACACAAGAGUCCAUUGUUCACCUCAUCUGUCAUUGCCAAUACACGCGCCGGUUAUAG
rnacentral:rRNA from 1 species